rnacentral:lncRNA from 1 species
UCCCCAUCUCUUUCUGACUCUACUGUCUAGCUAAAGUUACUGAAUUUCAUUAUAGGAAAUCAUAAAAUGGCAGAUAUAAACAAAUGUGCAGGGAUUUUCCCAUCUCUGUUUCCCUGAUUAAUCCACGUGUACUUCAAAAAUCCUGAAAACAGCAAAAGAUAUGAUAUUUAUGGACAACAUUUCUGGGAUAGGGCCAUUGAGCCAUCUUAGACCCAUGGCCAGGCAAUGGCCGUGUAGAGAGAAACAGAAAGACCCCUGAGAUAUGAGCUAUACAAAGUGACUUAACUGUGUGAAAAUUUCAGUUUGUUCCCCGACUCUGAUUAAAUGACUUCAAGGUCUUGUUAAAAUGGAGAGGGACACACGGUCUAUAGAGAUCUCUCAAAAUACAGGAAGACCAAAGGCUGUCUUCUGGUCGGUGUCUUUGCACAGAGUGUAGAGCAGCAGCUGCCCUUUAGAUUGCAGCUGCAAUAGACAUACUUUUUGAACUGGGGAAAUUGACAAUAAGCCAAAAAGUAGUCAGUAUGUUUGGAUCACAGUUUCUAUGCACUAAAAUAAAAGAUGAAAGUACCUCAACAGAGUAUGGUAUUUUCUGCAGAGAUGAAAAUGUAGGGAAAAAGCAAAAAAAAAAAAAGAAAGAGGUAUUAUGAGAUGAGAAUUGUUAAGUUUUCCAGCACUGGUGUGUCUUCACACUUUGUCAAAUACAAUCAAACAGUAGCAUCCAGAAAUGUCCAAAAUUUAAAUACAAUUUAUAUAUAUAUACUGAAUGAGCAUAUCUUUAUCAGUAUAAUAAAUAAAGUUUUUCACUGAAAAAAAAAAGUUAAGGCUUUAUCAUGAUAGAAGGGAAUUAAUGAGACUAUAGAAGUUUUUGCAAUUGAAAAUGCAAGUACUGAUAUGCAGCUACUAGAAUUCAUGAAUGCGCUUAAUGAACAAAUCAAAGAUAAACUCAGGAAUAAUGCUUGUGCUACUCUGUAAGUACUAUGUAGUGAAGAUACUAAGUAGUAAACUUUCAAGGCAGGUAAAAGUAGUCAGUGUGGGUAUAUGUAGGAAGAACAGUGGACUUGAUGUCAGGUGGGAGAGACUGAUACAAUCUAUCAAAAAUCUUAGAGAUGCAGAAUUGUGACAUUUCUUGUCGUUUUAUGAAUAGCUGGAUUACUGACAAUAUCUUCUCAUUUACUUGUUUUACCAGAGUAUUCCAUGUGAAAUAACUCUUUCCUUGGUUUAAAAAAAAGAAAAGAAAAGAAUACCAAACACUUCAGUGGUUUACCAAAGAGCACCUACUUUUAUGCAUCUCCCACUGUAACUGGUUCCCUGUUUUUAAGUUGUGUUGUGAGGCUUAAGGGGAGGGAUUGAAGUGGAUUCCUGCUGAUAUUACACUUUCUUGCAAACCCUUCCAUAUACUUAUAUCAGUGGAGAUUCUGCGGUUACUGAGAUCUACACAACAUACAACAAAUGCGUAAUUUCUGAGUAUUGCCAAAGACAUGCUCAUGUGAAAUAGGAAGCCCAGCUCUUGUAACACUAGUCUCCACCUAUACUUUUUCUUUACCAGAGUAAAAUUUAGAUUUCAUGAUCAUGUUGACCCUUUUGAAGAGCACUUGCUACCAUAAGGAGGCAACUUUACUUACCAUAAACUUUGGUCAAGAGCAGAAGUCUUACCCAUGCCAAGUAAUUCAAGAGGUAACACUGUCUAUUCAGGUUGUCUUUGUCUAAAAGUGUUAGGAUCAGAGCUUUUACCAAGAACAUAAUCAUUUACUUGCUCUUUUUCCCACAUUUUUUAAGAACAAGGAGAUUAUUUCUUCAGAUUUAAAUGUUCUGGGUUUUUUUAUCUGUGAUUACAUCGUGUAUGGGAAGUGUUGAAUCAUGGCCUGAACCACUGUUUGAUCACCUGAGGCAAGCACUGAGUCAGCCAUGGGAGCACAGGUGAAGGCAAUUCACCUGUGUGACCAGAAGGGGUGGAACCUGGCUCCACCUCUCCUAGCCCCAUUUAAGAGCUGUCUACCAGUGGGGGAGGUUCUUUUUUUGAAGGAAUGAUCUUCUGUUGCAUGUAUAAAACAAUUUCAGAGUUAUAAUCUUCCUCUUAGUUAAAACUUGUCAAAAAUUAAAGUGUAAAGGUUUUGUGGUAUGGUUUUGUGACAUUGUUUAGUCUUUCCUUCCAACUCAAGGCAUGAUCAUGGGUGCCUAUGCCACACCUUACAGAUCUUUAAUGAAGAACUCUACAAAACCUCCUGUGUGCUGAGAACUUCAGAGAUGUAGCAGAAUAUAACACACAAGAGAGCUGCACAAUAGAGAGGCUGCUAUUUUGGAAAAUGAAAGGAUUUCAGUGACCUAAGAUGUCAGCUACCAGCACAGAAUGCUGAGUUUGUGAGAUGCAGCAAAGUUAAGGAGGGAUGCAAUUGCUCAGUUGGAGGUGAAAAGGAAAACUCAGCUCUAACAAGACAAGCUACAGACAAGGAUGGUGGGCUGUGCUGGGAAAAUCUGUGACUGAGGAGCAGAAGGAGGAAACUCACUGACAGCAUCAAAGGACCAUUGUACCCCAACUGGUAAGUAAAGUAGGAAAACUCCAAGGCAGGAAAGAGGCUGAGGCAGGAAAGUGUUUCUAGGGGUUUCCUUCUCUGUAGCAGACAUUACUCUCAAAGAUUUCAAAACAGGAAAGAUAAAGAUCAAAUAUUUUCUUCCCAGAGCAUUGCUGAGGUCUUGCAUAUCAUAGUGGUGUAUAGUAGGUAGCUUUCUGCCCAGCCUUCUGAAUUCUGUAAAUCCUGCUGUUAAUCUCAUAAGUCACCUGCAGAUCUGGCCAACAGAUUCAAGGAUAUUGAGGUCCUGACUGGGUCGUCUUGGUAACAGAUAC